GUUUCGGAUAUUGGGCGUAAGCGAGCGCAGGCGGUUUUGUAAGUCUGCUGUGAAAGCCCUCAGCUCAACUGAGGAAGUGCAGUGGAAACUNCAAAACUUGAGUACAGAAGAGGAAAGUGGAACUCCAUGUGUAGCGGUGAAAUGCGUAGAUAUAUGGAAGAACACCAGUGGCGAAGGCGGCUUUCUGGUCUGUUACUGACGCUGAGGCUCGAAAGCAUGGGUAGCGAACAGGAUUAGAUACCCUUGGGUAGUCCAA
rnacentral:rRNA from 1 species